AUGACAUACAAAAGUUGGAACUUUUCGAAGGGUUCGAAGAUAAAAAUCGUAGCUUUUGGCAUAGAACAAAAACCGCCGUCUCCGGAGCAGAGGAAAGACGGGGCCUUUCUUUCACUCCUCUUCCCCUCUCCCCUCUCCCUCUGCAGAGUCGUCCGAGUCCUGACCUACCCAGACCUCCAAUCCAAUCCAAUCCAAUCCAAUCCAAUCCGGCCGCCGCGGCGUGGCCUAGCCUCGCCGCCGGCCACCCCUCGCCCGCGUCGCCGGCCCCGUCCUAGCCCCCAUCGCCGUCUCCGCCCGCAGCCCCCUGGGCGGUUACUAUUUGAGGACCGGCGCCGGAGUCUGAGUCGAGCGCUUUCCGCAAAGGUUUCGGAGAGCCGGAUUGCCUGUCUGGGUGUUCUUCAAGGUUCAGCUCAGAACAGCAUGUCCAAGAUGCCAAAUCCAGAGAAGAAGUUGUUGAGGAUGCCAAGCGCAGAUGCCGAGAUGGCUGCACUGCACAAGGAAUGGGAUGAUGCCCGGUGUCCAAUUUGCAUGGACCAUCCUCACAAUGCCGUACUUCUGUUGUGCAGUUCUCAUGACAAAGGAUGCAGAUCCUACAUAUGUGAUACAAGCUAUAGACACUCAAAUUGCCUAGACAGAUUCAGGAAAAUGAAAGUGAACCGCAUGGACAGUUCGUCACAGCCAAGCUCUUCCUUGCCUGGAGAUACAAGUAACCAAAAUGUUUCAGAGAGAUCCCGUCUCGGUCCCAGUAGAGGGAGCCCCAGGCUGUUAAUAGAUGUACCUGAAUUCCGUGAAAAUCUCAGUCAUGAACAUGUCCGUAGCCCUGCAGCCGUAUCUGGACAGCAAGAAGGAACUAACUAUAAUCAAGGUCCAGUAACAUUGGAAGCUCUUAUGGGACAAGUGACUGGGCAAGUCGAGUCAGCUGAGGCAUCCAACUCGAACGAAUUGAUGUGCCCACUGUGUAGGGGUGCUGUGAAGGGCUGGGAGAUCAUCAAAGAUGCCAGACAGUACCUGGACGAGAAGCCAAGAAGCUGCUCGCGGGAAGCAUGCGCAUUUUCUGGUACCUAUGGUGCGCUCCGUAGACAUGCCAGGAGGGUGCACCCCACUACCAGGCCUGCUGAUGUGGACCCGUCAAGGCGCCGCGCGUGGCACCGCCUGGAGAACCAGCGGGAGUAUGGUGACAUAAUGAGCGCAAUCAGGUCGGCUAUGCCUGGGUCAGUUGUGCUUGGAGAUUACGUCAUUGAAGGUGGGCCAAGUGCGGACGAGCGUGAAGACGGCGGGCCAAGUGACCGAAGCGGGUCUCUGUUGACAACGUUCUUCCUAUUCCAUAUGAUGAACAGUGGCCCGCUGAGAUCAGGAGACGAGCCAAGAGCCUCAUCAAGGGCCCUGAGAAGGCAGAGGCGCCGCUAUCUGUGGGGAGAGAACUUGCUAGGCCUCCAAUACGACGACGACGACGAUGAUGAGGACGAGGAUAGCCUAGACGAGGAGGUUCAGAGGCCCAGGACUCGCCGGAGGUUCGUGAGGUCAAGGUCGGAGGAGCGGCGCUGA
rnacentral:rRNA from 1 species